rnacentral:rRNA from 1 species
GACGAACGCUGGCGGCGUGCCUAAUACAUGCAAGUAGAACGCUGAAGGAGGAGCUUGCUUCUCUGGAUGAGUUGCGAACGGGUGAUUAACGCGUAGGUAACCUGCCUGGUAGCGGGGGAUAACUAUUGGAAACGAUAGCUAAUACCGCAUAAUAGUAGAUGUUGCAUGACAUUUACUUAAAAGGUGCAAUUGCAUCACUACCAGAUGGACCUGCGUUGUAUUAGCUAGUUGGUGGGGUAACGGCUCACCAAGGCGACGAUACAUAGCCGACCUGAGAGGGUGAUCGGCCACACUGGGACUGAGACACGGCCCAGACUCCUACGGGAGGCAGCAGUAGGGAAUCUUCGGCAAUGGACGAAAGUCUGACCGAGCAACGCCGCGUGAGUGAAGAAGGUUUUCGGAUCGUAAAGCUCUGUUGUAAGAGAAGAACGAGUGUGAGAGUGGAAAGUUCACACUGUGACGGUAUCUUACCAGAAAGGGACGGCUAACUACGUG